UUAAGCACAAGUAUCCUCCUGGAGGACACUGGGUUGUAUUUCUGUAGCCUCAUGUAUAAAGUACACUAUCUAUAUUAAAAAAAAAAAGAAAAGAAAAGAAAGAAAUGUCCAGCAGAGGUAUGAAAAUGUCGACCCCUGAACCCACAACUGGCAUCCCAACGCAGGCGUUUAAGGAAUGUGCCCGUGAACCGAGGAACCAGAGAGUUUAAGGAUACUUGCAACAGAUCCAGAGCUGGACUUGGCCUGAGGGAAGCUGCGGUCUGUGCUGCCGACGGUCACUGAAUGAUACUCGGUAGAUUUCUGUGCAUGUGCAAAUGCAUCUGUGCGAGCGUUUAUGGGCUUUUUUUUUUUAUUUUUCCGUUUCAACAUUUUUCGCCACACUGACUGAAAUAUGAAUAUUUGAACCUUCUUGCUGACUUUCAGUGAAUGAAAUUAGUAUUCUCACUGCUAAACUUUUCUCUAAUUAUAUGAUUCAAAGCAACUUUAUGUAAUUUUUUACCUUGAAAUGACAUAACACUGUUUUGACGCACAGAGUUUUGUUUGUUGCAAGCACUUACACACGACAAACUGUUGCACACUGGGGAUAUUUAUAUUUACAACAGUGGUGUUGUUCUACAUAAUGUUUCUUUGUAUAAUUUCAUAUUCUUUUAAGCUACUUUACUAUUUUAUCUCCUCUGCACGCUUAAGUCUUAAUUGCAAUAACAGUGACUUGAAUUGUGA